rnacentral:snRNA from 1 species
AUCGCUUCUUGGUCUUUUGGCUAAGAUCAAGUGUAAUAUGAACAAUGAAAACCAAUUUCAUUGCUUUAUAUACCCUGUAUAUUUAAACUGAUGAUAAUGUAUGUGUGUGUACUUACAGAAGUAACACAUGAAAACAUUCUUA